AUUGAACGCUGGCGGCAGGCCUAACACAUGCAAGUCGAACGAGUGGCGGACGGGUGAGUAAUGUAUGGGAAACUGCCUGAUAGAGGGGGAUAACUACUGGAAACGGUGGCUAAUACCGCAUACCAUCAGAUGUACCCAGAUGGGAUUAGCUAGUUGGUGGGGUAAAGGCUCACCAAGGCGACGAUCCCUAGCUGGUCUGAGAGGAUGACAAGCCACAUGGGAACUGAGACACGGUCCAGACUCCUACGGGAGGCAGCAGUGGGGAAUAUUGCACAAUGGGCGCAAGCCUGAUGCAGCCAUGCCGCGUGUAUGAAGAAGGCCUUCGGGUUGUAAAGUACUUUCAGCGGGGAGGCGUUACCCGCAGAAGAAGCACCGGCUAACUCCGUGCCAGCCGCCGCGGUAAUAC
rnacentral:rRNA from 1 species